CGGAGUUCAGUCUUCCCAGGCCCACCACUUUCAUCGAGUGAGCAUUCGUCUUCUGGUUACGGGGCCAUAGCUCAGCUGGGAGAGCGCGUGCUUUGCAAGCAUGAGGUCGUCGGUUCGAUCCCGUCUGGCUCCACCAGAUGGUUUGAUCACCGAGAUCUUGUACCGUCGUCCGCGAAACAUCACUUCGCAUCCUGCUAGUCUGGAUAGACAGCAAGAUGCGUGUUUUCUGACAUCGUAAAGAGGAGAUCGAUCCGAGUUGGGUCGUGCAGCGGAUUGUUGCGCGAAUCCUUCAUUAUCUCCGGAUCAUUUUCGGCGCUCGCUUUCAGCCGUGAGGUUGAAUGCGAGUUGUAAAAUGAUCCUUUUAGCGAAGCUUGACCGCCUCGCUAUCGGAACGAUCUUACGAAGCAAGCUGGUCUUUCUAGUCAAUGUCCGGCUGUGCGUAGCGUUCAUCGAGGGCGCGUGCCGUAAGGCAAUCGUACAGACAACAUUCUGCCGAGUGUGUGGACAUUGAUAAUGAGAGCAAUCAAGUGCCUUAAGGGUGUUCGGUGGAUGCCUUGGCGCUGAGAGGCGAUGAAGGACGUGCUACGCUGCGAUAAGCCGUGGGGAGCUGCGAAGAAGCUUUGAUCCGCGGAUUUCCGUG
rnacentral:misc_RNA from 1 species